AAGUCGUAACAAGGUUUCCGUAGGUGAACCUGCGGAAGGAUCAUUAUCGAGUUUAGAUUGUGGGCUUCGAUGCUGGCCCCUCGGGGCAUGUGCUCGGCCUGCGCAUCCACUCAACCCCUGUGCACUUUAGAGACGUCCGUCCUCCGUCAUGGGAGUCGCGCUUCGGCGCUGGGACGGCGGCUCGCCCUUCUAUACACACCCUUUAAAGUCUAGUGAAUGUAAUCGCCUCCGGGCGGAAAAGUUAAUACAACUUUCAACAACGGAUCUCUUGGCUCUC
rnacentral:misc_RNA from 1 species